AGAUUUCCCCAAACCCGUAACAACCUGGGCGGCUUGCUGGGACCGACUGCUCCUCUGCGCGGAUCUAUUUAGCCGAGCCCUCAUCCAUGUUGCGCUGGCGUGAUAGCCGUGAGGGAAUACACGACCGUGUGAGCUGUGCCAUAGCCCUUGUGUGUCCACCAUUGUCGUGACCUUGUUAUCAAGUCGAGAAGCGCUGCCAGUUCGCAAGUGAGAAUGUGGCAACCUCGCUGCGCAGGACAAGCGACCAAGGGCGGGGAGUUUUCACUGGAGGAAGACCAUCGUUGCGGCUUCACUGCUCGCAUGGCCAGGGGCACUUCUUCUCCAAUCCACGGUAAUUAGCUCCUCCCAGAGUUCAUUGUGUCCUUAGGAUCGUUUUGCACCGAGUCAUAUGGACAAUCGUGCGCCGGGGAUCGAGCGCCUAUGUCGCCGGCGUACGCUUCGUCGUAAGCCGAGGCGGCGCCGCCGUUCUUUUCGACCCAGUGAGGAAGAAUGCUGCACGCCGUCGGAUCUGUUGUCGACGGCCGUGAUUAGUGGCAGGUUACCGAUUCGGGGGGUGAAUAGCGACUGUUGGAUCUUCAAGCGAAGAUGGCUGAGAUGAUAGGGGUUAAUAGAAUCGGGUCCGUCGGUUUUAAGCGGAUGGCUGAGAUGAACCGACACCAUUUCAGCUUGACCAACGUCUAAUCUAGGUCGUAGAUUCAAAUUGGACGGCUCAGCCAGCCCCGUACCCCUUCGACCAGUCAGAAUUAUAAAAGAGACCCUGAGUUUUUAUAAAAUAAACCCGUCGUCCAUAUUCGUUAGGAAGUAAUUGCAACCGAGUCCUGAAAUUCAUGAACUGAACCCGAGCUUUUUGGGAUUCCUGCGUGCGAUCCAGGGAUGAAAUAAAUUGAGUAAAUUAAUAUAUAAAAUGAUUUCUAGUAUAAAAAUAAUUUCAGAAACUUGUUUAAUUCAUAUUUAAUUCAUUUUAACUCCUUUUUAUCCAUUCCAGUUGCAUUAGAUUCAUAUUAAUAUUGUUUAUCAUGUAGUAACCUUAUAUUGUUAUGAAAUAUAGGUUAGAAUUAUACAAUUAAUUUGUUUUAUAUCUAACACCUAAAUCUUUGGUAAAUCAUAAUUCUUUAGCUGUAAAUCCGAACUCAGUGGUUCUCGAACCUAGGAUCUUGUUACGAUGCGUAGAACAUUAUUAUGCAGUUUGUUCUUAUGUUUGGUGUGAUGUUAAUUUUGCCUAUAGAAGACCAAGUUGGUACCUGGGAACCUCGAGUCUAAGGCAAGUUAUGCAUUUGAUCAUUUUUUCUACCUAAUAAUGUUUCCAUUAAUCACUGUGACAUGCUCAGGUUAAAUUGAUGGGACCUAAUAGGUUUCCCUAGCAUUGUUUAUCCCCCAUAUUGCAAACAAAUGAACUAUUGGGUAGAUUUGUUAUUGCUAUACUUGGUUUUGGGAAACUAAUGUUUUAUUAUAAUCAUGUUUUAAUUAUGUUGUUGUUUUAAUUAUUGUUCAUGAUAAGAUCAUCAUGUUAAUUGGAAUAUGGAGAACCACCCGGAAAAACAGUGCUACCACAAAGGUGGAAUGGGACGCCCUUGGCCAAGUAAUUAGGAAAACUAGGGAGAGAUUACCUUACCCGAAAGGGGCAAGCGGAGAGGCAUCACUGCUAGAGUAUAGGGAGGUCCUCGGAUUGAACUGUCUAUAAAGUUUUUUGGACGAGGGAUUCCUAUGCUUCCUUCGUCUUGAAUCCAUAGCAGGUUUUCUUGAACUAGUGGAACUUUGGAAAGUGAAAGGGAAAUGAGAUUUAACCUUUUCCUAUAAAUGAUUUUGGUGGUUGAAUGCCCAACACAAAUAAUUGGACUAACUAGUUUGCUCUAGAUUAUAUAUUCUAC
rnacentral:lncRNA from 1 species